rnacentral:rRNA from 1 species
AGCAGUAGCCGCGGUAAUACGUAGGUGGCAAGCGUUGUCCGGAAUUAUUGGGCGUAAAGCGCGCGCAGGCGGAUCAGUUAGUCUGUCUUAAAAGUUCGGGGCUUAACCCCGUGAUGGGAUGGAAACUGCUGAUCUAGAGUAUCGGAGAGGAAAGUGGAAUUCCUAGUGUAGCGGUGAAAUGCGUAGAUAUUAGGAAGAACACCAGUGGCGAAGGCGACUUUCUGGACGAAAACUGACGCUGAGGCGCGAAAGCCAGGGGAGCGAACGGGAUUAGAUACCCCCGUAGUCCCUGUCUCUUAUACA